GCACAAGCGGUGGAUGAUGUGGUUUAAUUCGAUGCAACGCGAAAACCUUACCCACCUUUGACAUGUACGGAAUCCUUUAGAGAUAGAGGAGUGCUCGAAAGAGAGCCGCAACACAGGUGCUGCAUGGCUGUCGUCAGCUCGUGUCGUGAGAUGUUGGGUUAAGUCCCGCAACGAGCGCAACCCUUGUCAUUAGUUGCUACAUUCAGUUGGGCACUCUAAUGAGACUGCCGGUGACAAACCGGAGGAAGGUGGGGAUGACGUCAAGUCCUCAUGGCCCUUAUGGGUAGGGCUUCACACGUCAUACAAUGGUCGGUACAGAGGGUUGCCAAGCCGCGAGGCGGAGCCAAUCCCACAAAGCCGAUCGUAGUCCGGAUUGUUCUCUGCAACUCGAGAGCAUGAAGUCGGAAUCGCUAGUAAUCGCAGGUCAGCAUACUGCGGUGAAUACGUUCCCGGGUCUU
rnacentral:rRNA from 1 species